CGCAGCCGCGGUAAUUCCAGCUCCAAUAGCGUAUAUUAAAGUUGUUGCAGUUAAAAAGCUCGUAGUUGAAUUUCGGGGUCGGUAGGUUGGUCAUGCCUCUGGUAUGCACUGGUCUCACUGAUUCCUCCUUCCUGAUGAGCCGUAAUGCCAUUAAUUUGGUGUUGCGAGGAAUCUGGACUGUUACUUUGAAAAAUUAGAGUGUUUAAAGCAAGCUGACGCUUGAAUACAUUAGCAUGGAAUAAUGGAAUAGGACGUUCGAUCCUAUUUUGUUGGUUUCUAGGAUUGACGUAAUGAUUAAUAGGGAUAGUUGGGGGCAUUAGUAUUCAAUUGUCAGAGGUGAAAUUCUUGGAUUUAUUGAAGACUAACUACUGCGAAAGCAUUUGCCAAGGAUGUUUUCAUUAAUCAAGAACGAAAGUUAGGGGAUCGAAGACGAUCAGAUACCGUCGUAGUCUUAACCAUAAACUAUGCCGACUAGGAUCGGAUGAUGUUAAUUUUUAUGUACUCAUUCC
rnacentral:rRNA from 1 species